rnacentral:tRNA from 1 species
GGGCCGUUAGCUCAGUUGGUAGAGCAGCUGACUCUUAAUCAGCGGGUCGAAGGUUCGAGACCUUCACGGCCCACCA